CAUAAAAAAUAAAUAAAAAGAAACACAAAAGAAAGAUCGUUUUUAGUUAAAAAGAUACCCCAUACAAAGCAGAGAAUGAGCAAGUGAGUGUGCGUACAAAAAGGCUUUUCCUUUGUUAUCUUCUCCAAAUGCAAGGAUGAAAAAGAAAAAGAUCACAACCCAACAAAAGAAAAAGAAAGAAACUUCUCUAUUUCUCUUUCAAUAUGGAUUGUGAUUUAUCUUCUGGUUCUCUCUCUCUCGAGUUCUCAGGUCCUCUUCUCAGGGUUCUUGCUUCAUGUUCCGGCAGAUGAUGUCAUCUUCCCGGCAAAUACGUCAGAUUCCUGCUCUCUGAAUUUUUGUUUGUUUCUUUUUUUCCUGAAAGGUUUUUGAAACUACAAAAAGGUAGAACAAUAUCAUCAUAUUCUGGUGCCCCGUUGAUUCAUUGAACUGUAAAAUUGGCUAUGGGGCAUCUAUCCUCCAUGUUCAACGGGUUAGCGAGGUCGCUUUUGAUAAGAAAAGGGAAGAACUAUGACAGUGGGGAUGGAAGAGAAGCUGCAGAAGAAAUGGCGAAAGAAGCAAAAAAGAAUGACUUGAUAUUGCGAUCUUCUGGUUUCAUAAAUUUGGAUGGUUCAAAGAAUUCUGCCUCAGGUUUCUCAAAGAGAGGCGAGAAGGGAACGAACCAGGAUUGCUUCAUUAUAUGGGAGGAAUUCGGAUGCCAAGAAGACAUGAUAUUUUGUGGGAUUUUUGAUGGACACGGUCCCUGGGGCCAUUAUGUGGCGAAGAAAGUUCGGGAAUGGAUGCCAUCAUCUCUGUUGUGUAAUUGGCAGGAGACCCUUGCUCAAACUUCGCUUGAUCCAGAUAUCGACUUGGAUUCAGAUAAAAAGCAUCAAAGGUUCAAUAUAUGGAAGCAUUCAUAUAUUAAGGCUUGUGCAGCUGUUGAUCAGGAGUUGGAGCAGCACCGGAAGAUUGAUUCAUUCCACAGUGGAGCAACUGCCUUGACAAUUGUCAGACAGGGAGAACUCCUUUUUGUAGCGAAUGUUGGCGACUCUCGUGCUGUAUUGGCUACCACCUCAAAUGAUGGAAACUUGGUUCCAGUUCAGCUUACUGUUGAUUUCAAGCCGAAUUUACCUCAGGAGGCUGAAAGAAUACAUCAAUGCAGGGGCCGGGUUUCCUGUUUGGACGAUGAGCCCGGGGUGCACAGAAUUUGGCUGCCAAACGAGGAAUCGCCUGGACUAGCAAUGUCUAGAGCCUUUGGAGAUUAUUGCAUAAAGGAUUUUGGACUUAUUUCUGUGCCGGAAGUGACCCAAAGGAAUAUAACCAGCGAAGAUCAAUUCGUUGUGUUGGCAACUGAUGGGGUGUGGGAUGUGAUCUCUAAUCAAGAGGCAGUGCAAAUUGUAUCUUCAACACCGGACAGGGCGAAGGCAGCUAAACGUCUGGUUGAAUCCGCGGUCCAUGCAUGGAAGCGAAAGAGGAAGGGAAUUGCCAUGGACGAUAUAUCAGCUAUUUGCCUUUUCUUCCACUCCUAUCCUACUCUAUCAGAGCAAGAUCACCUUGUUAGUACCCCAAAAUAGUGAUGAGAAAAUGUAAAUGAACAGGGAAGUUGAUCCCAACAUGAUUCUCAAUGUAGCCAUUAGAAAGGGUUCAUAUGAUUAAAGUCCCAACAUGAUUCUCAAUGUAGCCAUUAGAAAGGGUUCAUAUGAUUAAAGUCCCAACAUGAUUCUCAAUGUAGCCAUUAGAAAGGGUUCAUAUGAUUAAAGUCCCAACAUGAUUCUCAAUGUAGCCAUUAGAAAGGGUUCAUAUGAUUAAAGAAUGGUCCAAAUUUGGGCUCCGGAGAUGAUUAAAAAUUUAAGUAGAGGAUCAACACCUUGAAAUAAUAUUGGAAUCAUUAUAAAAUUUUGAGAUUAAGGGUUAAUUAAUCCUGAUGUCUUUUUA